rnacentral:rRNA from 1 species
AUGAAACAAGUCUGCGGUAGUUCAAAACUGGAAUUGGCACAAUAUCGUGAAGUGGCCGCCUUCGCUCAAUUUGGGUCAGACCUUGAUGCUGCGACUCAGGCAUUACUCAAUAGAGGUGCAAGGCUUACAGAAGUGCCCAAACAACCACAAUAUGAACCCCUUCCAAUUGAAAAACAAAUUGUUGUGAUUUAUGCUGCUGUCAACGGCUUCUGUGAUCGAAUGCCACUAGACAGAAUUUCUCAAUAUGAAAAAGCCAUUCUAAGUACUAUUAAUCCUGAAUUACAAAAAUCCUUCUUAGAAAAAGGUGGCUUAACUAACGAAAGAAAGAUGGAACCAGAUGCUUCUUUAAAAGAAAGCACUUUGCCUUACCUGUGA